rnacentral:rRNA from 1 species
UACGUAGGGUGCAAGCGUUGUCCGGAAUUAUUGGGCGUAAAGAGCUCGUAGGCGGUUUGUCGCGUCGACUGUGAAAACCUACAGCUUAACUGUGGGCUUGCAGUUCGAUACGGGCAGACUUGAGUUCGGUAGGGGAGACUGGAAUUCCUGGUGUAGCGGUGAAAUGCGCAGAUAUCAGGAAGAACACCCGUGGCUAAGGCGGCUCUCUAGUACGGUACUGACGCUGAGACGCGAAAGCGUGGGGGAGC